CAUACACAACAUCUACAACAAGUUUUUUUUUUACACAUUCCAUAACUGUUCUUGGGCAUGAUGUACACUUCCUCAUGUUUCGGGUGAUUCUUUGGGGCGCUCUUGAGGGAUGUUUGUGUGUUCACCGCCUGAAACACGGUUUGCGAACCAGUACAAAAACUUUUCGAACAUCUGGUUUGUAACUCGAUUUGUUCAUGGGUCGAGGUACCACUGUAUCCAGAGUAAACAGAAACCAGGACAAAACAGGAACAACACAGAAACUCCACAUACACACAGGGUGAGAUUCAAACCCUAAUCCUUAUGGUGUGAGGGGAUAGUGUAACUCACUGUUCUGGAAAUGUGUCUAUAAAAACAAAAGAGAAAGACAUGAAACAGAUUCCCUGGCAAUAUUUGUUAGCGGGUUAAAAUGCUGUGCCCCUGAUCAGAAUGUUGCUGGUUCGAAUCCCAAGGCUGGGAGAAUGAUUUUACCACUGGUCCCCUGAGCAAGACCCUUAACCCCCAAAUUGCUUCAGGGACUAUUUGACCCUACUUUACAAAAAAUGUGCAUUGCAUUGGAUAGAAGCGUCUUGCAAAGUAAAAUGCACAUAUCUGCGUUUACCUAAGUUUAAAAAUAAACAAUGCUGCUGCUGUCGAGGGGCAUGGCAGGGGGCCGCGAGAUGUGUGUCACUACUCAACAUCCUUUUUUGAGACAGUAGAUCUUCAGAAAGAGCUAAUUCAGACUUUGUUACAGCUGGUCUUCUCUCGGGCCAUGACACACCCUCCAGAACGUCAGCCUUGUGAGUCUGGCUGAAUGUUCAAUGGACCGAUUGUGUUUGGAGGGUCACUUGUGAUCGGCCGGAUCUUAAUGGCAAGCUUUGUGACCUAUUGUUUAAGAAGAGAGCUACUGGUCAUGCCUCCCUUUGUUUAUCUGGAAGACAUGCUUUUCAGAUCACACACACACACUCUCUGCUCCUUCUCCAGUUUAUUCUGCAAGGAAAUAGCUGCUUCAAUUAUGAAAUUAUCUGCUUUAAUCCUUCCGAAUUUCAGCCCUAAUUUAAGUGACUACACCCAGCCCAUGUAUUUCCUUGUGAAAAUCACAUGCGCCGUUUUGUUAAUCAUAUUUGUGUUUCUGAGAAGCUUUGAAACAGGUAUGUCAAGGCAAAAGCACACCUCUGAAGUUAAGCAGUAGUAUGGAGAGAUUGAAGUCAGAGAUUAAGAUAAAGUUUCUUUGUGUUCUGUAUUGUUUUAGGGUUUGGUGGAUGACCACCUUUGUUGAUUAUUCUCAGUAAGGAUCACGGAACCUGAUUUCCUGUGCUUGUUUCUUAGAGGGCAGAAGGUGACCAUUCCAGGAUGGUAGUCCAGGUUCCGGGUCUGAUUGCUGAUUCCCUCCUGCUCAGGGAAAGAUGCUUAAACCAGGCCGUGAACUUAGUUAAAGUUUCACUAACCCCGCCACCCACUUAGUCACACCCACUAAACUGCAAAUUAUUACAUUUCUGUGUGCACUGCCAUCGGCCACAUAGGAUAGUCACAGAUCCAGCAGAAUAUCCAUUUUUGGAAUUCGCAUAUUUAAAGGAACGGGCAUUAGCUCCGUAUUGUGCCCCACGAUCACUUUAUUCCAGCUGUGCCUGGAAUCCGUGUUUGUGUACUUCAGGUCUGGAAUGUUUUCUUUGUUCCCUCCUUCUGGGCCAAACUGUUCCUGCUGCAUCCAGGAACAGACCGGCUACCCAGCGCCUGCGCAGAUGGCGGUCCUGUCUGCCGAUCCUCCAAAAGUGUUUAUUUUUUUCCAUGCUGGAGCAGUCUGCCAGAUUCCUGACACCUUAUUCCGAAAUCCAUCUGCAAAGAAAGUUAAAAAAAAAAUGGAAAAAGCUGAAAAUGCAGUUAGGCUGUCUAGGAUUACUGGGUUGUUGAUGAAAGGAAGGUCCUUUCUGUAAAAACACACAAGCUUUCCACUGAACCCAUUAGCAGAUACCUUUAUCCAAAGCCACAUACAUUUUUUUGAGAAAGCACGUUCGAUCAGUAUCUGAAGAAACUGGGCUCAGGGGCCCAAUGAUGACAUCACCUCACUGACCAUGGGAUUCAAACUGAUUGGUGCUUGUUUGAUCACAGGCACACACCCAACCCGCUAAGCUAUACUCCUCUCCCUUUUUUUAACCACUCCUUAGAUUCUGACUUAAAACUAGAGGGAUUGUGCUUUAUGAUGCGGUGUGGAAGCUGACCGCACAGUGGUAAAGGCCAAAGGCUCUUAACCCGAAGGUCGCAAGCUCAGAUCCAAGAGGGUCAUUGCUGUUGUACCUUUGAGCCAUAGACUUAGCAUAAAAUACCUAGCUUUGGAUCUCUGUAUCAGACACCACAAGCGCGUGCUACCAGGUGUGUGGCCCUGUAUGGAUUAGUCAUCCAUAUUGUCAUUCGGCUCUGUAAUCAGUGUUGAGUCACUCUCCAGUGUAAUUAAAGGUACGGAAGAAUUCAGCACUGCAGGGCACGGUGGAGGCCCAUCCCUUCCGUCUCUUUGUGCCCAAACAUGGGACAUGCUUCACACAAAGUAUAGGUGUAAUCCACACCCCUGAUAACUCUAAACAAAGUCUCCUCAGUCACAGCAGGAGCUGUAUUGAGCUAUUCCCGUUAAUCAGGCUGCAGGAGUGAACCAUAACAGCGUCUUAUUUGUAGUAAUACUGGUAAAUCCAUGGUAGUCAUUGCCUUGUACUGUCUGCACAGCUGAGUCGAGACUGACGGUGUGAUCUUCACAGGACAUGGGGGUAGCGGCUCCCUCCUCCCUAGAAAUACACUCUUCACUGCACAUUAAAUAUUAUUUUUAACCCACAACUUCUUAAUCACAUCCUUUGCAUUGUACAGAAUAUAUUCUUUUUCAAGAUUAUGCACCGUAAACAGUCAGGUCCACUAUGCAAUGAAAGUCUUACUCUACAUGCCCUUCUGCUAAAAACAAAGAAACACAAAAACACAGAUUAGAAGUACAGAAUUAAGGCACAAAGUUUAAAUUAAGGAGCACAUACAGUGACAUGCUACAUAUGAUUACAAUUAUAUUCGGACUAAUUAUUAAGCUCUAUUCUUUUUGCUAUAUAAGUGUGGAACAAAACAGGGGCAUGAUUAGUGUAAGGACAGGCAAACGUGACCAGAACAUUCACUUCUUAUCUGACAUUAAUUUUUUCCUAGAAUCACUUAUCCUGGACAGGGUUAGAGCCAGAAGCCUAUUCCAGACAGCAUAGGGCACCAGGCUGGGGAACAGCUUGGAUAGGAUGCCAGUCCAUCAUAGGAUACAUACACACACAAAAAUUCACACACUAGGGCAAUUUAGAGAUGUCUAUUAGUUUCUUUGGACCACCGGAGGAAACUCACAUGACACAGGGAGAGCAUGCAAACUACACACACAGCAUGUAGGCGGGAUUCUCAUCAGUGUUAAGCACUGAGCCACCUCUCCAUCUGUUCAUCAAUUUUCCCAAACACAGUAUCCUGGACUGGGCUGUGGUUACACUUGUGCCCUCUUGUGGUGCUUUUCCAAAGACACAAACGGGCUGCGCAGUAGUGCAAAUUCUAGCUUGCGGAACAUCUGGAAAACAAACCCCUGUAUUCUGAAGCAUUUUCCUAAACACUCUCCUAUUUGGAUGAAUUUAACACACAUUGUUUUUCUGUUUAAAAGAAAAAGACCUUCAUUAGACCCCACAUAGAUCAAAGGCGUGGAAUAAAAGCAUUAAAAAAACAAGGUAAUGGAUAGGAAAAGCAGCUGAGGACAUUCCUCCCAUGAUAAAAUUACCCAGAAGGCCAUGGAAAACCAUGGAAACAUAGGAUUCUGCGUUUAUACUGAGAGGCACAGGCUUCAAUGCCCCCUGCAAAAAAAAAAUAUAUAUCACUUAACAAUAUCAUGGGAACCCCCCCCCCCCCAAUUAGCAAAAUUCAUCAUGGGGACACCAGAGUGGGGCUGUGGGCACAGGGUCAAUUUUUAAUCCCAGUCCAGCCCAGGUCAUGAAGUAACACAUUAUUUAAAUAGCAGGACCCAGCAGAUCCAUUUCAUGAACCACAAGGAAGAUAAUGGAAACCCUAUCAGUGUAAGGCAAAGGCUUCCUCUCAUCGUGUGUGGAAUCCUGGAGAUACAGCAGUCCUGGCUCUUUGGGUAUCUUCCUUUCAAAGCUGACAUGACCAUAGUGAAAAAUAAGCAAAGGUUCCACUAUUUCCAUGGUGAUCUGCUUCUGGUAAACCACUGUAAACAAAAGAGGUGUCUUGCCUUCAGUGAACAUCCAACCUGUUGUAAUCUGAGGAUGAACUUUAGACCUGUAAUGAAACAACAGCUUAUGGAAACAAAGUCACUCAAGAGGGUUAUGACAGACAAUCCCGGGGUCACGUUUGGUCUUAUAUGGAGGCUGAUAUGUUCCUCUCACCCUAGCCAAGAUCAAAGCAACCCCUCACCCCCACCCCCAGCCACCGGAUCAAUAAAAUACUCCCACCAGGAUCCAGUUGUGAAGAUUGACACUGUCUGGAAUUCAGGAAGUUGUUAAUUACGUCAGGACAGCAUUAACCACUGGAUGACAGUCUCCCAUUUACCAUCCCUGCUGUCUUUCCUUUUUGUCUUUUGCAUUUUUCUUCCACAGUACUCCCAUCUUAAGUCUAUUAUGGUGUCAAAUCAUUUCCAGUAAUUUUCAUAAUUCAUGAUUUGCUGCACUGUUACUUAAAUUUUAUGCUCCAUUUGCUGAACUAAAGUCCAUGAUGUUUUUAUGAUCUAAAUGGAGUCAGAUUAGAUAAUGGCGUCCCUAUUUCCCUGUGUGGAAAAACUCAUCACCUUUCUGUAAAGGUGGAAGGUGCCAUUAUCAUGUUUGUAUUUCCAGUUUUAGCACUGCGAUUUUGUUUAAUGCUGAGGUUAUGUGGCACCAUCAUAACGCGGUAAUACAGUUGCUGACUGUAAGGCAAACUGCACCUCUAUCUUCAAGGGCAUAUGUUCAAUUUCAACAUUGGUAGGGGCCAAACAACCCCAAACUACCCCCCCCUCCCCCCCCAACACAUGGCACUCCCACAAUAUUGGUAAAGGACGUGUCCCUACUGCCCGUAC